rnacentral:rRNA from 1 species
GUGAGGAAUAUUGCGCAAUGGAGGCAACUCUGACGCAGCCAUGCCGCGUGCAGGAAGAAGGCGCUACGCGUUGUAAACUGCUUUUAACCGGGAAGAAACCCCAGGACGUGUCCUGGGUUGACGGUACCGGAGGAAUAAGCACCGGCUAACUUCGUGCCAGCAGCCGCGGUAAUACGAAGGGUGCAAGCGUUAUCCGGCUUCAUUGGGUUUAAAGGGUGCGUAGGCGGAGCGUUAAGUCAGUGGUGAAAUCCUGCAGCUUAACUGUAGACUUGCCAUUGAUACUGGCGCUCUUGAGUGCGCUUGAAGUGGGCGGAAUGUGCCGUGUAGCGGUGAAAUGCUUAGAUAUGGCACAGAACACCAAUUGCGAAGGCAGCUCACUAAGGCGAUACUGACGCUGAGGCACGAAAGCGUGGGGAUCGAACAGGAUUAGAUACCCCGGUAGUCC